ACAGUUCAAAGUGUUAAUACUGAAUUGGACAGCGCUUUGAACGGCGUCAAAGGCGAAAUUGAAAAGAUUUUCCACGCUGCCAAGAAAGGAGCUAAAAAAGCUUACAAAAAAUUGGACAAAGGUUCACACAAGUCACAGUGAAUGAUGUUCGUUGAAAAAGAAUCCCCGUCAGAUGCAUAGCUAUGAUCCUGAUUAUUGUGAAUUAACGUACUCUCUAAUAUUACAUUUAAUUUGAAAACUAUUUCUGUUACUUUCGUUUUAAGUUGUUUGUUAAGGUUCUGAAAUAAAAUAAAAUUGUAUUUUGAAAAGA